GAAGUACUUCCUCCGUCCAAAAAUACAUGUUAUCAAAAUAGAUAAAAAAAGAAUGUAUCUAGAACUAAAAUACGUCUAGAUACAUCCGCUUUUGUUCAUUUUGAUGAUAAGUAUUUCCAAAUGAAGGGAGUAGUUG
rfam:Triticum urartu cultivar G1812 contig835470, whole genome shotgun sequence.